rnacentral:lncRNA from 1 species
UUGCCAUGAGUAUCCGACUCUGAGUCGCCCAAAUCUAUUCAAACCAAUUACAUAACGUAAAUAACAUCAAAUGUAACUACUUACACAGUUAAAAUUAAAUCUAAGGCGCGAAAAUAAAUGAAAUAACAAAAAUGCCCCUCUAGUCAACGUCUUAGAAUCAAAUAAUUUUAACAAUUUCAGAAACCUCGUACUCUCACGAGUCUAACCAUAUAAAAAUAUCCCAAAUCGGAGGUCAAAUGCCCCUUCAAAUCAUCAAAGUUAGGUCUAAGAACUUUACCCCAAAUUUUCAUUCAAAAAUCGAAUUGAAGGUUGGAUUUGAGAUUAAAUAAAUGGGUUUUAGUCAUAGAAGAGUAGAGAAUCGUUACCCAGUGAUUUUCUUUGAAAGCCUUCAAAAUUGCUCCCCAAUCCGAGCUCCCUAACCUUGAGUUUUGGUAAAAAUUGAAGAAAGGUUCGUUUUGAAAUGUUUAUAUUCAGCCCAGUGAUUUGCUCUAUGCGAUCCCGUGAGAUGGAAUGCGAUCGCGUAGAAGGAAUUCUGAAGGCCUUGAAAAUGAACUAUGCGAACGUAUCCAAAGAAGUGCGAUCGCAGAGAAGAACCAAACGGGGAUAUGCGAUCGCAUUCAAGGUUGUGCGAUUGCGUAUAAGAAAUCGGCCUUGAUGCCCAGGUCCUAAAAUACUCUAUGCGAACACGGGUAACGGGAUGCGAUCGCAAUUUAUGAGGGAACAAAGGUAUGCGAUCACAGAAGGUUUAAUGCGAUCGCAUUGAAGGAAAACAUGCCCAGCUCUAAGGACUCUAUGCGAUCGCGGGAGAGUCUAUGCGAUCGCAUAGAAGGAUUUGUUUGCAACACCAACAGCAGAAAUCUGCAACACUUAAAGUUCCGGAAUUGCUCCGUUGAGCAUUCGAAACACACCCGAGGCUCCCGGGACCUCAACUAAACCUACGAAUAUAUCCCACAACAUCAUUUGGACUUGUACCGAUCCUUAAACCACCUAAAACAAUGCCGCAAACAUGAAUUAAGCAAUGAAUUGGACUUAGAAAUUUCAAAACUUAACCAAACUCGCUUUCAACUCAAAACAUAUCCAAAACACGUCCGAAUGACCUGAAAAUUUUCAGACAUAUCCUAAAUCACCUAACUAAGCCACUGCAACUCUCGGAAUUCCAUUCCGAACCUCGGAUAAAAAAUUCACUUUCAGACCGGAACUUCAAAUUUCUAACUUUCGGCAUUCAUAGCCUAAUUGAGCUACCGACCUCCAAUAUACAUUCUGAACCUGCUCCCCACCCCAAAAUCACCUAACGGAGCUAAUAUCACCAUCAGUUUUAAAUUCUUAGUUUUUGCGAACCUCCAAAAUACAUUCCGAACACGUUCCCCACCUCGAAAUCACCUAACGGAGCUAACGGAAUCAUCGGUUUUACUUGGGAGGUCGUCUUGACAUAGUUCUGAUUACGGACCAUUUUCCAACACUUAAGCUCUCAUUUAGGGACUAAGUGUCCCAAAACACUCUGAACUCUAUUAUCGAACAUCCCGACAAACUAAAAUAGCAUAAAUAAACUUAGGGGAAGCAGAAAAAUGGGUAAACGGUGCAUAAAUUCAAAAGACGACUAGCCGGGUCGUCACAGUGGGGAGGGGGGAUAUUUACAGUUUUAGAGAAGCUUAGUUUUAUAAAUUGAGAAAGGGUUAAAAAUUUAAAAAAAAAGGCUAUUUAUGCAAUAUUUCUGUUGGCCAACGGACCAAAUCAAGGUCUGACCGAUGCCAACGGUCAGUGGAGCCCACAAGUUUUGAAAAUUAAAAAAAACUAGCCGUUUGAACCGGGCUGGUCCGGGCCGGUUAAUCCGGUAAGAGUUACUGUUCCCUCUUCUGGGUUCAACCGGGCCGGUUACCUGUUUUCAAAAAAAUAAACGGACCAACCCCCUACCCGGCCCAGCCCAGCCCCCUCUAAUCGGUCCGGGUCGGUUCCAGGUUCAGCCGGUUUGGGCCAGUCCAGAACCGGGUCAACCCGGCUCGUUUAACACCCAUAUGCCAAUAUUACUUUCUAUGACUUCCUUAAGCUCGCAUCCGUUUUUAAACUAUAUACCUUCUUUGUAAGUAUUAUGUCCUAAUACACAAUAAGCCGACUCAUUUAACACUAAUUAAGCAUAAUAUAAAUAAUUGGUCUUAAAUUUAGUCUAAGUUCUAUGGAGGUACUUCGGGUAGAUUUUAAGGAGUACCUAACACAUUCCCCUAAAGAACAAGAACCCUUACCAUUAAUAUCACCGGUUAGCAGACUAAUAUAGAAUAUGACUUUAGUAAUUAAAUAGGUACCCUAGCAUACGUUAGAAUAUCAGGUGGCAACUCUCUUUCAUCAACGACAGAAAAAUCACAAGUUAAAUCUUAUUUUGACUAGUACAAAAUAGGGUACAACAACACUUACCUUAUUUUGUACAAUCAUCUCAAUAUUUUUCAGUUAUAUGCAAUUGUUCUAAUAUUUUUUUACCUGAUUUGAGAUUUCAAUCCGCAAUUCUUAAUCAGCAGUCAAUAAUAAAAAAAAUUUCCUUUAUUUAUCAUUUUAAUUAUUUUUUUUAUUCUCAUAUUUUUGGGUAAAUGAAGUAAAUUUAGUUAUCUGUAAUUCGAUUUCUUUAAUAUUGCUUUGCUCGCUAAAACUAUUUUUGAGUUACACAUUAAGGAGAACACAAAAUAUUGGAGCAAAUAAAGAAAAUUGGAAUGUACUAUAAUAGAAAAUCACGGCGAUGGUAAACCUGCAAAAAAGUUGGAGGUUUUACCGAUAAAAAGAGAGAAGCCGAAAGCCGAUUCAAAAAAAUCUUUGUUAUGCAUUAAAUUGUUUACAAGCUUUUUUAUUCCUCUACACCCUCAUUAUAGCUUAAUCAAAAUCCAUCACUACUUAUAGGAAGCUUAAUUAUGAGCCGGGCUAAUAUUUCGAGUAUUAUAAGUGAAUUUAUUCUUUUCUUCUAAGAAGAUUGCGCAUAUGUUUGUAAAACAAAUUAUAAAUGAAAUCUCGAAAGAGAAAACUCAAAAGUUAGAUUCAAAGUCCGGUAGCAUUCUGUGUAUGCCAAUAAAAAUGAGUAUAUUUGUGCAUUUUAUGGUGGUUGUAUAACAGUGAGAGUAGGUAGAAGGUGUCAAAGAAGGUAGGUGGGUCUUAGCUUGGGGAAGAUGAUGGAGUGCAGGCUCUAUUGAAGAGUGGAAUCGAGUAUGAUGGAUUCUUCCUGUGACGUAGUAUUGUGGGAAAAGGGUUAUCUUAUAGAGGAUUUAAUUAUUAGGGAAAAAUCAUGGGAUGUUAUUAAAUACCGAUUAUGGAUAUAUUGAUGGUUUUGGAUGGGGGUGAAAGAAGAAUUGAAGGAGAAUUGAAGAUAUUAAAGGAGCGGGUAAAAUAGGGUAGGGGUAGUGAGGUGAAAUGCUAUACAGCGUCCACCUCACCCAAAUAUAAGGCCACAUGGAUUGGGUCCUUACAAUGGUGGACUUCUGCUAAAAAUAUGAGCAUAUAUGAUAAGUUUGGUGAUUAUAUGAGUAUAUUUGUUUGUAAAGUAUAACUGAAGUUUAAUGUAGAUAAUAUUUAAAGGUAAAGAAAUAAUGUUGUAAUGGCCCGACUGGUCGUUUUGAGAUUUAGCGUUCCAUUCGUUAGUUUGAGACUUUGAAUAGCUUUAUAUUAUGUAUUAUGACUUGUGUGCAUGGUUGGUUUUGGUUUUCAAGCAGUUCGGGAUUGAUUUGGAAGAAUGAUUCUCCUUUUAGAAGCUUCAAUUUGGAAGAGUUGGCCAAGAUUUUGCUUUUGGGUAAACGCACUCGGAAUUGGGUUUAUUAUUCCAAUAAGCUUAUAUGAUCAUUUUGGACAAGUCCACAAAGUUUGGUUAAAUUUCGAUGAGUUUUGGAUAAGUAUGAGUAGUUUGGUGAUUGCUUUCGGUUUCAAAGUCGAUUAGAGCAUAAAGGUUACCAUAUUGAGCAAACGACCUUUGAUUUGUAUUUUGAUUAAACCAUUAUAUCCAUAUCAUAAUUUUGGAACCUUAUCAACUAAAAUCAUCAAGUUCGACAUCGUAUAAGGAAUUUAUGACUAUUUUACAAAGAAUUGGGUUUGCCAUAUUUUUUAGAUUAAUUACAAAAUUACCACUGAAUUCGUAUUUAAAAAUCUACUCUAUUUUCAAAUAUUGAAAUCAACAUGCCUCCUUCAUUAUAAGGUCAAAUAGAGUUAUUCAAAAGCCUAACUUGACUGGAAUUUCCCGAAAAAUCCAUUAGAGGUAUCAAUAGCGAGUUUCGGGAUCGUUUGGCAAGGAAACGAGGCAGAGCAGUUGGGGCAAGAGUAUAUAAUAUCGAGAGUUUGUUCAUUUGGUCAAAUUUUGAGUAGGGAAGCACGGAUUUGAGCGAUUUUGUUGGUGAUUUUUACCACAUGGAUUGGACUAACUGUUAUAUAUUUGGUUUUGGUUAUAUUUCAUGAAUCCAUCUGCAUUUUCGACAUUUGAUUUAUAAUUUCAAAGUGAAAUUUGAGAAUUUUUGUCUAAUCUUUUAUAAAGUGAAUUUUUCAAUUUGGAAUAUUGAUUCAGAGUUGAGUUUGAGUGAACUAGUAUGUUUGGACUCGUAAUUUGAUGAGUUGUCAGAUUUAGUGAGAUUCGCCAGGCUCCAAGGUACGAGCUUGGGUUUGACUUUAUGGUUACUUUAGGCUUUUGAUUAAAUAUUCAACCUGCUUUUGGCUAGUAUCAAGUCGUUUGGAGGUUGGUACGCACGAGAUAUUAUUUCUAGAGUAUUGUUUGGCUUACUCGGUAUUGGAUUCGACUUGUUAGAGGUAAGUAAAACUUCUGAACUUGGUGUUGAGGGUAUGAAUACUUGAACAUACAUGUUAUGUGUUUAGUGUUGAGGUGACACACAUGCUAGGUGAUGGGCAUGUGGAUGUGCACCGUGUGGAUUGUGAUUCGAUCGAUUUUGUGAUACUUGUAUAGUUACCCAAUCUUGUUUCUGUUUAUAAAACUUCUACGUGUUGGUGAAAUUGAGAUAUUAAUCAUGUUAGAAAUCAUGUUUAGGCUAUAUGUUUAUUAUGUUGGGACCAAAUGAGGUCAUCUAUGUUGUUGCGUUAUUUGAUUAAAUUGCAGUUACAUACUCGGUCAUAUUCAUUCAUUCGCAUAUCAUAUUUCAGUCUCUAUUAUCCUUUGUUGUCAUAUCAUGUUAUCAUUGUUUGGUUUGAGGCCAAUAGGCUGGAGAGCUUGAUGACUGAGUUGAGGCCUGAUAGACAUGUUGUGAGAAAUAUUGUGGAUCUGGCUGCACAGUGUUGCAGACCAUAUUGGCUUUUUAUACUAUUAUUAGUAUUAUUAUAUGGAUCAGGCUACACGCCGCAACAUGCCUUAUAGUCUUUAUUAUUAUUGACGUGAUUGUCUGCAUGCCAUAGCAGGUUUUAUUUAAUCAUUAUGGGAUCGAGUUGCACACCGCAACAUCCCAUGUUGUCUUAUAUUAGCGCUUAUGCAGGAUCUGCCCCUCUGGAGUCUGACAUAUCAGUAGUGAGCGCAUAUAUCGUGUAGUGCUAAGUGAUUGAGUGUGAUGAGUGAGAGUGCGAGACACUGAGAUUUUGAGUACUCUGAGAGUGUAAGCACAUGAGUUCAUCACUAUGACACAUUGCAUUUGACAUGCAUACUUGACAUAUAAGCAUAGAGAUGCACUUCCUCAUGCUACAUGGUUUUGUGACAUUCAUGACUUUACAUGCACAUUAACAUGUAGGCAUAGAGAUGUACUUUACUCGUGUUAUCUGAGAAUGAAAUAUCUUAUUUUUUGUUGAAAGUUUUUGGGAAUAAUCAUAGUUUUUUUUAUUUUUUCAUAUUUUGGUGAUUUAAAUAAAAGAUUUGGGUUUUACUAUUAUACCUGAAAAGCAUGUCUAUUUUCUGUAACUGUGAACAAGUUGACCAUCAUAUCGUUGAGUUAUUACUUUUACUGCCUUUAUUAUAUUGUUGUGAGUUGUUCUUGGCUAUUGAUGUUGGAUUCUAACCAUUGUCCAAGAUCGUCACCGCUUAAAGUUUAGUUUGUUACUUAUUGAGUACAUAGGAUCAGUUGUACUCAAACUAUACUUCUGCACCUUGCGUGCAUAUUCUUUUGGAGCUUAUGUUGUUGUGUAUGGUAGGUCUGGCAUUGAAGAUGUACUUGCGUUCUAGUUAUAGCUUCCUCUUGUUCUUGGAAUCUUUAGAUUUAUAAUUCUAUUUAUGUAUAUUUCGAAUAGAUGAUGUAUUUACUUAAUACCAGCUUUGUGAACUCUAAAUCUUAGAAGCUCAAGAUUUGUAUUGCCAGUCCUUGAAAGUUUGUAUAAAAAUUUGAUUAUUUUAUCAUUUUUUAGUAAAUCUCAUUUGAAUUGAAUUAUUGUAAAUUGUCUUACCUAGCGGGUUGGAUUAGGUACCAUCACAUCUAGUUAGAUUUUGGAUCAUGACAAGUUGGUAUCAGAGCUCUAGAUACAUAGGUUCUAUGAGUCAUGAGCAAGUGUCUAGUAGAGUCUUACGGAUCGGUAUGAUAAGGUCCAUACCUAUCUUCGAGAGGCUACAUGUCCUUUAGGAUAAACUUCCCAUCUUUCUUUCCUUAUCGUGCAACAUUGAUUCAGGUUGAAGCUUAUCUAUUUGAAUUCCUUUCCUCACUCGUAUGGCAUAUGAGCAUUUGGUAUCAGUUGUACAUCAACGAGAUGUGUUUUGGUGAUGGGCCAGUUUGGAGGACUUGAGGCAUGGUUUGGACUACAACUUAGGCUCGGUAGUUUCAGUUGUGUGAUUAUGUGCUAUUAGACUUCUAUGUAUAGUGGUAUCCCUAUGAGUGGGACUGGUGGCUAGGUGAGUAGUUGGAUGGCUAUAUGAUGAGUAGGAUAUGAAUGCAGGAUGUGUUUAGAUGGUUUGAAUGUGACAGAAAGAGUUUGCUUGAGAUAUGAAAAGGACUAUUAGAUGCUCGAUUUCUGUGGAUGUGUCAUAUAGUCAUAAGUUUUGAAGGUUUUUGAGAGAUUCUAUCAUGCUAUUUCAUUUGUGAAAUGGAGUAGAUUUUCAUUUCUUGUUGAUGAGUUCAGACUCAGAAGAUUAAGUGAUUGCAUAGUAAAUGUGGCUGUGAAAGGGUAUACAGAGAUGUCAGUCGGGGGCUAAAUAUGUGGUUUAUCACAUGCGGGGUAAUCUACGAAUGUGUGAUUCUUAUGAUGUUUUGUGGAGGCUUUAUUUUCUACCAAUGGAUAUAGGUGUCGCACUUUGAGUUUGGAUUGGUUGAGAAAGUUGACCUGACAGUCACUAGGAUGAAUGAAAGCUUAGCAGAUGAUUUGAGGUACUAUAUGGUUUAUGUUAUAUGAGCUUAUGAAGUAUUUAGUUGAAUAUCACUACGGUAUUAUGGAAUUAAUAGAGUAUGGGAAUUGGGAGAUAUCGAGCAUUUUGAUCUACAACUUUGGGUCAAGUGUGGGAGUCUACUAUCAACGAUUUGAUUACAUGGUUACGUGUAGUAUUGGUUUCGGUCUGAGUCAUACUUGUAGAUCGAUUAUGACUUGCAGAGGCUGGCUUUGAGGAUGACUUGAGCAAGGAAAUUUCUAGGUUCAUGGUAUAUUACACUCUAUGGGUAUAUGGGAAUCAUGGAGUGAUUGAGUUAUUAUUCGUGAAGGAUGUAGUACGCAUGGAGUAGGAAUUAGCUCAGUUGCAUUAAGGCGGGGCUACUUCUUUAGGUGUUUCCGUGCUAAUAGGGAACAUUAUUCGGCAUGUUUAGGUAGUACAAUUAAGAUUUGAGAAGAGUGGAUGACUCUUGAGAAGGUUCUAAUGGAUUUAAUAUUUAUAUGUAGCAAUUGAGAGUGGAUUUGUAUAUGGCUAGAAUCUGAAAUUUACAUUGGAUGGUGUUGAGACUUGCAGUAUUUCUAUAUCAUUAUGGAUUCUACAUUUCACUACCAAUAAGGUAAAGGAAAUGACUUUAGAUUAAUAGAAGGUCUCCUUAGAGUGGGUGUCUCGGUUGUGGUACUUUUGGGGUGCUUAAGAAAGGAAUACAUCGACUUAUGGUCCGUAAGGCGGUGUGGUUUAUGCAAGGAUCUCUUGUGGUGUGCUUUGGCUAAGGAUCGUAGUGUUAUAGCAAGCAGAAGUGUCAAAUUGAGGGUAAUUCAAGAGGAACUUGGAGAAAUAGGACAGUUUGGUAGUAGGUUGAAUUGGCACGGUAACAGAUAUGAUCGUUUCUUUGGUUACUUAUGAUGUGGUGAGCCUCUACAGGUUUUUUGGAGCUUUGGGCGAGUUUGAAGAGAAAAAUCAAGGAUACAUCAUUGAGGUAAGGCUUUGGAUUAUGAAAACUCAUUUUUAUGGUAUUAAUUCGCGGAUUAGAGCUGUAAUUAAGGGUAAAAUUAGAGAACUAGGGCUUAGAAACUUAGGCCUUUGAUUGAGGAUUUGAAAGACCGUUUGUAAUCUAAUUUUGGAACUUUUGAUAUGUAUGAACUCGUGGGGAGAUAAGGAAUCUAAAGAUGCAAAAUUUAUUAAAUUCUGAGACGUGGGCGCGGGGGUUAGGUUUUGGUAAUUUCGGGACUCGCAUUGUUUUUCGAUUAUUUUCGAGUAGGCUUGGUCGCUUUAGCAUAUUUUGAUGAUUACAUUCUGAUUUUGGUAGAUUCAAAGCAUCCAAAGGCCAAUUCGAGGGGUAAAGGCAUUGUGAGCAAGAGUUUGGGCCGGAUUGAGGUGAGUAAUGAUUUUAAUUGCUAUCCUGAGAGUAUGAAACCCCAGAUUACACAACGUUCAGCUAUGUUGAGGUGACACAAAUACUAGAUGAUAAGCGUAGGGUCGUGACAAGUUUGUAUCAGAGCCCAAGUUACAUAGGUCUCACGAGUCAUGAGUAGGUUUAGUAGAGUCUCGCGGAUCGACGUCUAUAUUUAUCCUCGAGAGGCUGCAGAACUUUUAGGAAAAAUUCCAUAGUCUUGAAAUUCUUGUCGUGCGAAUUUGUUGAUUCGGAUUCUCUAUGUUUAUAUUUUCUAGCUGCCUUUCAUUUACUUUUUUAACUAUUAAAAAGGUGUUUUAAAGAAGCUUAUACUGAACUAAGGUGUUUUGUGAGAUUUCAUUAUUUUAUCACUUUAUUGGUUUUACUCUGCCUCUUUAUAGCAUGUUAUUGUAUAUUACGUGAUUUCUUAUCGCUCAAUCAUCAUUUAUUGUUAUUACUCACUGAGUUAGAGUACGCACUUUACUCACUGCACCAUUUGUGUAGAUUCGGGAGCUUCAGGUCCUGCUAGCGAGGGUUGAUAGCUUCCAGCAGAUUUUCGAAGUCCACUAGGUAGCUGCUUGGCUUACGCAGCCCAGUGUUUCUCCCUCUUAUCAUUAUUUCUUUCCCUUGAACUAGAUUUUGUAAUAGAGUGUGCAUUCCGUUUUCCAUAUUCCUAGACUUAUGUUAUAAGCUCAUGACUGGUGAUACCCGAUGUUGGGCUGUGUUGGUUGUUUUUUCGUGGUUGAUGUAUUCUACUCUAUAUUAGGGUUAUACUGUUAUUUAUGACUUGAUUAUAAAUCUUUAUAUAUGUUAAUUAAUUUGGGGUAUGUGUCGACUGGCCUUGUCUUCACGAGAGGGCCCAUCACGACCGAAUCUAGAUUUAGGGUCGUGACACUUACAUGUGGAAAUUUGACCGAUUUAGAAUCUUAGGCUUCUUUGAGCAUCAAAUUGAAGUUUCCCUAUCAUGUUAUGUCCUCUACAGUUAGAUUGACUUUUACAUGUUUUUCUUUAAGUUGUUAGUACAUGUUUUAUCUUUAUAGUCAAAUAUACUCUUAUAUGAUUUAAUUGAAGUUGUUUUCUCUUUUAUUGACAUAUUAUUUCUUCCAUUAUUGGUUACUCUUAUUUACAGUCAUUGUCACAUGUUAUCUCUCUAAUUGUUGAAUUAUUCUUAUUUGAGGUCAUUAUUGCUUGUUCUCUUUCAUUAUUGAGCUUAUUCCUCUAUUUCAUUGCGUGGUUAUAAAUCUUGUGUUGAUUUACUUAUUGUACUUCCGUGUUAUUGUUGCUGUUGUACUUGGUGUUGUUGACUCAUGGUCUAUGUAUAGUUGUGGUAUCGAAAUUGUUGUUAUGAAUAUGUUAUGGAAAAUAGGUAUAUAUGGGGCUAGUUGUUACAUUGUGUUGUUACGAUUUUUUCCCAUAUGGGAUUGUUGAGAAGAUUGUCGAGGUGUUUUGCCAAUGAAUUGUUCGUGCCAUUACUAUUAUUUAUUUUACACAUGCAGCGAGACAAGGCGGGCUGUACAUAUAUGUUGGGUUGGCUUAUGUGGCGAGACAAGGUGGGAUAAUUAUCUAUUCACGUGUGGCAAGAAAAGGCGGGCAUUUAUUUUAUUGUUUCGAACACUGUGAGAUAAGGUGGGCUAUAUUCGGGAUGAUAUGUGAUAGCUUAGAGGUGUUGUUAUUGAUGAUAUUUGUGCGGUGGUGUGACCUUCUUGUGCGUGUCAUGUAUAUUAUCAGUUUUGUAGUGUUGUUUCCAAUGUGCUACUCGGUGUCUCUAAUUUUUUUACCUGUAGAUACACUUGCACAAGCAUACACUGUAACAGGUCACCUAUAUCAAUCCAGGAGUAUGAAACUUGAUAUUUAUUGAUCAUGUACAGGUAUUCUUUUAUGCAUGCCUUCUGUGCGUGGAUGGGAUUAUUGGCACAUAAAUUGUCCGUGUGGAUGUGAAGUAUUAUAACUAUUGGCAUAUGAGUCAUCUAUGUGGAUUUGAGGUAUUAAUGGUAUUGGCACAUCAAUGAUAUGUGCAGCACGUGAGUUGUCCAUAUGGUUAAGAUAGGUAAUGUGGGCACAAGAUGUUACAUGAUUAUGAGUCGUGAUUUGAGACCCGUGACCUAUGAUCAUGAGGUGUAGUACCUGGAGGUGAUUCUUGCAUAAAACUUGUGAAAGAACUGUUGAUUAUUUGGUUGUGUUUUGUUUUCCUUAAUUGGGUUCACAAGUACUUUAAUUAUGUUCUGAUUACUUUCCGACGUUGUCACCUAUUUACUCCUUACUGCUAUUGGUUGCUUCUACUUGCUAUUUUCUAGUGUUAUAUUGUUAUUCUUUCCAUGUUUAGUUAUAUACUGAUAUUGGUUCCUCGUUUAGUUUAUAUUGAUACUUGCACAUGUUACUAUGUUUAGUAGUUGUCUCGAUUGUACCUCGUCACUAUUUUACCUAGUUUAGUCUUGAUAAUUUAUGGGUACCUUUGUGAUGUACUCAUGCUACGCUUCUACACAUUUUUUUUCAAAUACAGGUACCUCUGAGUGUGCCAGACAUUAGCUAGCUGUUGGAAAUUUACUACGGAGACUUCAAGGUAUACCUGCCACUAUGCUUGCAAGCUUCGGAGUCACCUUUUGUAGCUUUACAUUGUCACUGUUUACUUAUAUUUCAAACAAUGAUGUAUUUGAUAUUCUUAAUUACUCUUAGAAAAGCUUAUGACUUCGUAUUAUUAGUUUUGGAAUAUUGUAAAUUUAAGAUGAUUGCUAGCUAUGUAUGGCAAUUACAUAUUCAUGUUUAAUGGUGAAAUGGUUUAAAUCUGUUAAUAACUCAACAAGUAUUAAGUUUAUCUAGUCUUAAAAACUAGGUGCUAUCGCAACAUCCUACAUUGAAAAUUUGGAGUCGUGACAACGAAUUAGACAAGUAAAGCAAAAAAUGUGGGAAAUUUAGCUAAAUAAAGGACCACAUCAAUUAAACUUAACUUUUACAUGAUUUAGCAAAAGGCAAAAUACCUUACCCCCCCCCCCCCAAANNNNNNNNNNNNNNNNNNNNNNNNNNNNNNNNNNNNNNNNNNNNNNNNNNNNNNNNNNNNNNNNNNNNNNNNNNNNNNNNNNNNNNNNNNNNNNNNNNNNNNNNNNNNNNNNNNNNNNNNNNNNNNNNNNNNNNNNNNNNNNNNNNNNNNNNNNNNNNNNNNNNNNNNNNNNNNNNNNNNNNNNNNNNNNNNNNNNNNNNNNNNNNNNNNNNNNNNNNNNNNNNNNNNNNNNNNNNNNNNNNNNNNNNNNNNNNNNNNNNNNNNNNNNNNNNNNNNNNNNNNNNNNNNNNNNNNNNNNNNNNNNNNNNNNNNNNNNNNNNNNNNAAAAUACCUUCCCCCCCCCCCCCCAAAACUAGGCACACAUUAUUUGUUACAUACUUAAACUAUUUGUGGUCUUUAUUACCCCCUAUAUUUGGUUAUUCGAUAUUGGUUACCCCCUUGGACGCUUUCAUUCCAGAAAAGUGACAUGCACUCACCUGCCACGUGAAUUUUUCUGGCCAUGUGGUAUUUUUCUGGAAUACUAAAAUAUAUAUUUUACUCUUUUAAGUGUGUUACUUUUUUAGCUAAUCUUUUACGGAUAAUAUUUAUAAUAAAACUUAGACAUAACUAUAUUAUUUAGGCUAAUUUUUUUUAUUUGGGUAAAAAUAAUAAAGUUUUAGUUAUUUUUUUUAAAAAUUUGACCUGAAAAUAAAGAUUUAUACAGUUGAAAUAAAUAGUCAAGGCAUCAAAAGAGAUAUAAAAUUAUAUAGUUAAACUUUAUUAUUUUGGAUAUAAUUUUUUGUAUAGCUCUAAAUUAUGGAGUUUUAAAAAUAUAAUUUUUUUAUAGAUUUACCUGAAAAAGUAAAAAUACACAGUUGAAAUAAAUAAUCAUUGUCACACCUCCUUUUUACAUCCGAGGGGUAUAUGAGAGUUUUUUCAAUUAAAGUAACAUUAAUCGAAAUGGCAGUAAAUAAUUUAAAUUAUCAUAGUCGCCACUUGAAAUAGUUUAUUUGGUGUCCCAAGUCACUAGUUUAUUUUAAAAUCCCAAUCGAGGAAAUUUCGACUUUAUUUUUAUAGGUCUGCGAACCAGAAAUUCUAGAUAAGGAAUUAUGUUAACCCAUGAGAAGGUGUUAGGCAUUCUCAGGUUACAUGGUUCUAGCACGAUCUCUUAAACUAUUAGUAAUUAACCUAUUAUCUGAUUUACUACACUUUUUAACCCUAUUGUGCAUUUUUGACUUUAUAACCACUUUUAAGGAACUAUUAUUAUAUAGUGUGGACCAUAUCACCGGAAACGUACCCGUGAUCUACAACAUGUUUAACUUAUUAACAGUUAUUAAAAGUUUUGGCCGGGUCACAUAAAUGUACCCCUAAAUUUAAAAGGUAGGUAUCAUAAUUACGUCACGGGAAUCAUACCCGUUGCUAUGAUGAUUUUAUUAUAAACGUGCCUAAAGCAAACUACGAGUGUUUGAAAAGAGGUUUUUCUAUACUAAGUUAAUACUUAACUUGAGUGCCAUAAGUUAUGAGUUUUGUUUGUUUAUGGCAUACCUCAAUUUUAUUUUAACAAGGUUUGUAUUUCACUUAAGCAAAACUAAGAAUACUCAUAUUUUUAUUCCUAAUUUAGAAUUCACUAAGAAUGUUUUAAAUCAAGGACAUGCUUAAGGUGUAAAGGGCUAGGUUUUUAAAAUCACUUUUUUGAAAAGGGUUUGGGCCAGCAAUGGCUCAUUACUUAAUUAAUUUAGGAAAUUCAGUUUUGAAAGUUGUAUUUGGGCUCAGGAUUUGGCCCGUCAGAAAAGAGAUCAAAGACCAUUCACCUCUAAUGUAGUUUUAAUCAAGUUUGCACAUAUUGGGUUAAUAUCGGGCGGGCCCAAUUGUGGUUGUCUAACAUCUGGGCCUAUCCACCUCUACCCUGAACUAUACUUGCACAUUUAUAACAAAUAAGAUUUCAAAUUGCUGCUUAGGUAAAAAUAGAAUUUAAAGAUUAAAUACGAUUCAAAUCUGAAAAUUAAUCAACUGAUAUAAGAAAACGGCAUGGUCCCCAAUUUCCAGCUUUUGUACAUGCUAAUUUGGCCAACUAGUGCCCAAAUCUGCAGGUAGCAGCUCAUGGGCAAACAGGUAAAAAUCAAUUGACUUUAAGUAAAGAGAAGGACAUUCACCGAGAUAAAAGAAAGAAGAGAAAACAUGAAUAAAAUUUCAUAAUCAACAUUAAUAAUCGGAAUAUUUGACUAAUGACAUAAAACAAAGCUAUUUUUGCAAGAUAAAGCUACAAGGUACUCAUGUAUUAACUAGGUUAUUCAUGCUAAAUCACCUAAACUUUAAACUCACAUAGUCAAGACCAAUCAAAUUCAUAUCAAUGUAAGCUACUUCUAGCAUGAAAGAUAUUUAUUUCUACAACUACCAUUUACAAAUCCACUUUUAUACCAUUUCAAAAAUCAUUAAGGCAUUACAAUGAAGAAAAGCUGAGGUAAAUACCUAAAAAUAGCAACAAAACCCAGCAACCAAUAGAUGAUUAAGGUGGUUGAAAGCUUAGAGCAAGAGAGCAGUAAUGGAAACUCAAAAUCAGCAACCAAAAUCAGGAACAAGAUUUCUACUAUCGGCUACAGCAGCUAAAACCAGUAUACCCCAAAGGAAAAGUAGGAAACCCUCAACUUCAAACCAUGUUUCUCAGCUUAUGAAGACCAGAAAAUAAGAUUUUUUGAAUGUUUUUUUCGAAAUCAAAAGCCAAGGAAAUCAACUCUUUUCAAAAUAGUAGCUGAACUUGAGAGAGUAUUUUUUAGGAUUUC